AAGUCGUAACAAGGUUUCCGUAGGUGAACCUGCGGAAGGAUCAUUACAGAGAGGGGCCUUCGGGCUCCGGGGGCUUCGGCCCCCAACUCUACACCCUUUGUCUACCUACCUUUGUUGCUUUGGCGGGCCUUGAGGUUCGCCUCAUGGCGGCUUCGGUCGUCUCGCGCCCGUCAGAAGCCCCUUCAAAACCUCGUAUCGUCAGUGUCGUCCGAGCAAAAACACAAAUAGCAAAAAACUUUCAACAACGGAUCUCUUGGUUCUG
rnacentral:misc_RNA from 1 species